rnacentral:rRNA from 1 species
ACGCUCGACACCUACGAGAGGCAGCAGUGGGGAAUAUUGCACAAUGGGGGAAACCCUGAUGCAGCGACGCCGCGUGGAGGAAGAAGGUCUUCGGAUUGUAAACUCCUGUUGUUGGGGAAAAAGNGGAUGGUACCCAACAAGGAAGUGACGGCUAACUACGUGCCAGCAGCCGCGGUAAUCUGAGGCGGGCGUGGACGAAGGC